GAUGAACGCUGGCGGCGUGCCUAAUACAUGCAAGUCGAGCGAACAGACGAGGAGCUUGCUCCUCUGACGUUAGCGGCGGACGGGUGAGUAACACGUGGAUAACCUACCUAUAAGACUGGGAUAACUUCGGGAAACCGGAGCUAAUACCGGAUAAUAUAUUGAACCGCAUGGUUCAAUAGUGAAAGACGGUUUUGCUGUCACUUAUAGAUGGAUCCGCGCCGCAUUAGCUAGUUGGUAAGGUAACGGCUUACCAAGGCAACGAUGCGUAGCCGACCUGAGAGGGUGAUCGGCCACACUGGAACUGAGACACGGUCCAGACGCCUACGGGAGGCAGCAGUAGGGAAUCUUCCGCAAUGGGCGAAAGCCUGACGGAGCAACGCCGCGUGAGUUAUGAAGGUCUUCGGAUCGUAAAACUCUGUUAUUAGGGAAGAACAAAUGUGUAAGUAACUAUGCACGUCUUGACGGUACCUAAUCAGAAAGCCACGGCUAACUACGUG
rnacentral:rRNA from 1 species